GAUGAACGCUGGCGGCGUGCCUAAUACAUGCAAGUCGAGCGAACAGAUAAGGAGCUUGCUCCUUUGACGUUAGCGGCGGACGGGUGAGUAACACGUGGGUAACCUACCUAUAAGACUGGGAUAACUUCGGGAAACCGGAGCUAAUACCGGAUAAUAUUUCGAACCGCAUGGUUCGAUAGUGGAAGAUGGUUUUGCUAUCGCUUAUAGAUGGACCCGCGCCGUAUUAGCUAGUUGGUAAGGUAACGGCUUACCAAGGCGACGAUACGUAGCCGACCUGAGAGGGUGAUCGGCCACACUGGAACUGAGACACGGUCCAGACUCCUACGGGAGGCAGCAGUAGGGAAUCUUCCGCAAUGGGCGAAAGCCUGACGGAGCAACGCCGCGUGAGUGAUGAAGGUCUUCGGAUCGUAAAACUCUGUUAUUAGGGAAGAACAUACGUGUAAGUAACUGUGCACGUCUUGACGGUACCUAAUCAGAAAGCCACGGCUAACUACGUG
rnacentral:rRNA from 1 species